GUGCCAGCAGCCGCGGUAAUACGAAGGGUGCAAACGUUAUUCGGAUUAAUUGGGCGUAAAGGGUACGCAGGCGGUUCGUUAAGUCAACUGUUAAAUCUCCCGGCCUAACUGGGAAUCAGCAGUAGAUACUGGCGAACUAGAGGAUGGAAGAGAGAAGUGGAAUUCUUGGAGUAGAGGUAAAAUUCGUAGAUCUCAAGAGGAACACCGAUGGCGAAGGCAGCUUCUUGGUCCAUAUCUGACGCUCAGGUACGAAAGCGUGGGGAGCAAACAGGAUUAGAUACCCUGGUAGUCCACGCUGUAAACGAUGAUCACUAGACGUUGGUUCUUCUCUGAAGAAUUGGUGUCGUAGCUAACGCGUUAAGUGAUCCGCCUGGGGAUUACGAUCGCAAGAUUAAA
rnacentral:rRNA from 1 species